UAUUUUCUUCGUUUUAUUUACGUGCCUAUAAUAAUAGAUGACAACUGUAAAACUAUGCAACACUAUGUCGGAACAAUAUUAAGAGUUCUAACCUCAGGAGAAACAUAUAAACUGUACACAAUAUUUCUGUACCUAAAUAUUAAUUGUCACGUAUAUUUAAUUUAUUUUUAUUUCGCAACGUACACAAUAUUAUUGUAAUAUAUCCUAGUAUCGGACGCAUGCAUGUCUACGACUCAUAAUUGUAGUGCCGCGCAGAGUUCACGUACUGAUUGGAACCGGUCGGAUU